GACGAACGCUGGCGGCGUGCUUAACACAUGCAAGUCGAACGGAAAGGCCCUGCUUGUGUGGGGUGCUCGAGUGGCGAACGGGUGAGUAACACGUGAGUAACCUGCCCUUGACUUUGGGAUAACUUCAGGAAACUGGGGCUAAUACCGGAUAGGAUCUCCUGCUGCAUGGUGGGGGUUGGAAAGUUUCGGCGGUCGGGGAUGGACUCGCGGCUUAUCAGCUUGUUGGUGGGGUAGUGGCUUACCAAGGCUUUGACGGGUAGCCGGCCGGAGAGGGUGACCGGCCACAUUGGGACUGAGAUAGGGCGCAGACUCCUACGGGAGGCAGCAGUGGGGAAUAUUGCACAAUGGGCGGAAGCCUGAUGAAGAAACGCCGCGUGCGGAAUGACGGCCUUCGGGUUGUGAACCGCUUUCGCCUGUGACGAAGCGUGAGUGACGGUAAUGGGUAAAGAAGCACCGGCUAACUACGUG
rnacentral:rRNA from 1 species